UGGAUCCAGACUUUGAUUCUGGCUCAGGAUGAACGCUGGCGGCGUGCCUAACACAUGCAAGUCGAGCGGGAAAUCCGUGACGGAUCCUUCGGGUGACGGAUCGGAUGGAGAACGGCGGACGGGUGAGUAACGCGUAGGUAACCUGCCCUGUACAGAGGGAUAGCCACUGGAAACGGUGAUUAAUACCUCAUAAUGCCGGAUCUGCACAUGCAGGAUCGGUCAAAGUCUUUUCGGUACAGGAUGGACCUGCGUCUGAUUAGCUUGUUGGUGGGGUAACGGCUCACCAAGGCGACGAUCAGUAGCCGACCUGAGAGGGUGAUCGGCCACAUUGGAACUGAGACACGGUCCAAACUCCUACGGGAGGCAGCAGUGGGGAAUAUUGCACAAUGGGGGAAACCCUGAUGCAGCAACGCCGCGUGAACGAAGAAGGCUCUUGGGUCGUAAAGUUCUGUUCUGAGGGAAGAAGAAAGUGACGGUACCUCAGGAGAAAGCCCCGGCUAACUACGUGCCAGCAGCCGCGGUAAUACGUAGGGGGCAAGCGUUGUCCGGAAUUAUUGGGCGUAAAGAGUACGUAGGCGGUCUGGUAAGCGCAAGGUGAAAGGCAUAGGCUCAACCAAUGUCAGCCUUGCGAACUGUCAGACUUGAGUGCAGGAGGGGAAAGUGGAAUUCCUAGUGUAGCGGUGAAAUGCGUAGAUAUUAGGAGGAACACCAGUGGCGAAGGCGACUUUCUGGACUGUAACUGACGCUGAGGUACGAAAGCGUGGGGAGCAAACAGGAUUAGAUACCCUGGUAGUCCACGCCGUAAACGACGAGCACUAGGUGUCGGGGCCGCAGGGCUUUGGUGCCGCAGUUAACGCAUUAAGUGCUCCGCCUGGGGAGUACGCACGCAAG
rnacentral:rRNA from 1 species